GUGGGGAAUAUUGGACAAUGGGCGAAAGCCUGAUCCAGCCAUGUCGCGUGUGUGAAGAAGGUCUUCGGAUUGUAAAGCACUUUAAGUUGGGAGGAAGGGCAGUAAGUUAAUACCUUGCUGUUUUGACGUUACCGACAGAAUAAGCACCGGCUAACUUCGUGCCAGCAGCCGCGGUAAUACGAAGGGUGCAAGCGUUAAUCGGAAUUACUGGGCGUAAAGCGCGCGUAGGUGGUUUUGUAAGUUGGAGGUGAAAUCCCCGGGCUCAACCUGGGAACUGCCUCCAAAACUGCAUGACUAGAGUACGGUAGAGGGUAGUGGAAUUUCCUGUGUAGCGAUGAAAUGCGUAGAUAUAGGAAGGAACACCAGUGGCGAAGGCGACUACCUGGACUGAUACUGACACUGAGGUGCGAAAGCGUGGGGAGCAAACAGGAUUAGAUACCCGAGUAGUCC
rnacentral:rRNA from 1 species